rnacentral:rRNA from 1 species
ACCUAAUAGAUACCCUGGUAGUCCACGCCCUAAACGAUGCGAACUGGAUGUUGGGUACAUUACGGUACUCAGUGUCGAAAGCUAAACGCGUUAAGUUCGCCGCCUGGGGAGUACGGUCGCAAGACUGAAACUCAAAGGAAUUGACGGGGGCCCGCACAAGCGGUGGAGUAUGUGGUUUAAUUCGAUGCAACGCGAAGAACCUUACCUGGCCUUGACAUCUGUCGAAUCCUGCAGAGAUGCGGGAGUGCCGCAAGGAACGACAAGACAGGUGCUGCAUGGCUGUCGUCAGCUCGUGUCGUGAGAUGUUGGGUUAAGUCCCGCAACGAGCGCAACCCUUGUCCCUAGUUGCCAGCACAUCAUGGUGGGAACUCUAGGGAGACUGCCGGUGACAAACCGGAGGAAGGUGGGGAUGGCGUCAAGUCCUCAUGGCCCUUACGGCCAGGG